AAGCAGGGAUGUGGCGAUUUGUUACCGGAUUGCGGGCCACGUAAAAUAAUACCGCUAAAGAGGUCAGGAUGAGGGACCC
rnacentral:ncRNA from 2 species